rnacentral:tRNA from 1 species
AGCUAUUUACUAAUAUAUGUCUUGAAAACAUAUUAUAGGAAAUAUAACUCCUAAUAGCUU